GUGGGGAAUUUUGGACAAUGGGCGCAAGCCUGAUCCAGCAAUGCCGCGUGCAGGAAGAAGGCCUUCGGGUUGUAAACUGCUUUUGUCAGGGAAGAAAUCUUCUGGGCUAAUACCCCGGGAGGAUGACGGUACCUGAAGAAUAAGCACCGGCUAACUACGUGCCAGCAGCCGCGGUAAUACGUAGGGUGCGAGCGUUAAUCGGAAUUACUGGGCGUAAAGCGUGCGCAGGCGGUUAUGUAAGACAGAUGUGAAAUCCCCGGGCUCAACCUGGGAACUGCAUUUGUGACUGCAUGACUGGAGUGCGGCAGAGGGGGAUGGAAUUCCGCGUGUAGCAGUGAAAUGCGUAGAUAUGCGGAGGAACACCGAUGGCGAAGGCAAUCCCCUGGGCCUGCACUGACGCUCAUGCACGAAAGCGUGGGGAGCAAACAGGAUUAGAAACCCCUGUAGUCC
rnacentral:rRNA from 1 species